rnacentral:rRNA from 1 species
UACGUAGGGAGCGAGCGUUGUCCGGAUUUACUGGGUGUAAAGGGUGCGCAGGCGGCUCUGCAAGUCAGGCGUGAAAGCUAGGGGCUCAACCCCUAAACUGCGCUUGAAACUGUGGAGCUUGAGUGAAGUAGAGGCAGGCGGAAUUCCCGGUGUAGCGGUGAAAUGCGUAGAGAUCGGGAGGAACACCAGUGGCGAAGGCGGCCUGCUGGGCUUUAACUGACGCCCAGGCAUGAAAGCAUGGGUAGCAAACAGG